rnacentral:rRNA from 1 species
GUGGGGAAUUUUGGACAAUGGGGGCAACCCUGAUCCAGCCAUUCCGCGUGAGUGAAGAAGGCCUUCGGGUUGUAAAGCUCUUUCGUCAGGAACGAAACGGCGGGCUCUAACAUAGCCUGUUAAUGACGGUACCUGAAGAAGAAGCACCGGCUAACUACGUGCCAGCAGCCGCGGUAGUACGUAGGGUGCGAGCGUUAAUCGGAAUUACUGGGCGUAAAGCGUGCGCAGGCGGAUUGUUAAGCAAGACGUGAAAUCCCCGGGCUUAACCUGGGAAUGGCGUUUUGAACUGGCAGUCUAGAGUGCGUCAGAGGGGGGUGGAAUUCCACGUGUAGCAGUGAAAUGCGUAGAGAUGUGGAGGAACACCGAUGGCGAAGGCAGCCCCCUGGGAUGACACUGACGCUCAUGUACGAAAGCGUGGGUAGCAAACAGGAUUAGAAACCCCGGUAGUCC